CUCUGGUCGUGGUGGGGGGCUGGCAGUGUUCUAUCUGGACACUUUCGGCCUGGUUGAACUGCAGGUCCCUGAUUCCCCAUCUUUUGAAUGUUUAGCUGCCAGCUGCCUCACUCCAGAACCUCUGCUAAUUGUCUCUAUUUACAGACCACCCAGAGAUAACUCUACUUUUAUAUCUGAUUUCUCAAAUCUCCUCACAAUCCUAUGCCCCACCUUCUCCAGGCUGGUGAUACUUGGUGAUUUUAAUAUCCAUAUAGAUGCCCCCAAGUGCCUGUUGGCUGUUGACUUCCUCAACCUCCUGGAUUGCCUCCCGCUUACUCAGCAUGUACAAGGACCAACCCAUAAACACGGCCAUACCCUUGAUCUUGCCAUUACUGGUGAUGUUGUAGUUACCAACUCUCAUGUCCUGGAGCUAGGCAUCUCUGACCACAGUGUGGUUCUACUGGACACUAUGAUUACACCACCAGUCUCUAGCAGCAAGCGCUCUAUUACCUUCCGUAAGAUCAAGGACAUUGACCAUGUCCUGCUAUCUUACACUCUCUCCUCUGCCCUGACUGAGCCUGAUCCUGCACUCUCACUUGAAGAGCAUGUGCACCACUACAACAGCACUCUACUUGAUGGCCUAGACAGGUUUGCCCCUGAAAAAACACGGCUGGUGUCCUUCCAUCGCUCAGCCCCCUGGUUCACUGACCAUCUCAGAGCCCUAAAAUCAGAGGGUCAGAAAAUUGAGCGCAGAUUCAGGCGAACUGGCUUAACUGUUCACAAACUGUCCUUCAGAGAACACCAGAAAACAUAUUCCUCUGCUUUGAGAUCUAACAGGGCCUCUUACUACUCCACUCUCAUUGACUCUGGCCAUAGAAAUCCCAGGCACCUGUUCUCUACAAUACAUCAGAUGCUCAAGCCCUGCAGCUCCUCCACCACUACUCCCUCCUCUGAUGACUGCAACCGCUUUAUGGACUUCUUUAAAACAAAGGUUGAAAACAUCAGGCACAACAUCACCCCCAACCAACCUGACCCUCACCCUGAUCAUGCCCCCCAUGAUGGCCCUGCCCUUGAUCACUUUGCUGAGGUCACUCAACCUGAGCUCUCCAGCAUUGUUUUAAAAAUGAACUCCUCCACCAGCUCUUUGGACCCCAUCCCCACAUCACUAUUGAAAGCGUGUCUAUCAGCCAUCAUCCCCAAUGCAACCUACAUAAUAAACAGGUCCCUGUCUUCUGGUGAAGUACCCCCCUCCCUUAAACUGGCAGCUAUCAAACCUGUGCUCAAAAAGCACAAUCUUGAUCCUGAGGACCUCUCCAACUACCGUCCCAUCUCAAACCUGCCCUUCUUAGCAAAGGUCUUGGAAAAGGUCGUCACCCUCCAGCUUCAUGACCAUCUCCACUCCCACCACCUUUAUGAAUCAUUCCAGUCCGGUUUCAGACCAUCCCAUAGCACUGAAACUGCUCUGGUGAGGGUUCUAAAUGACCUCCUAAGAUCGUCAGACUCUGGCUCCCCCAGUUUACUUAUAUUGCUGGAUUUAAGUGCUGCUUUCGACACGGUGGACCAUAACAUCCUGUAUCGGCGCCUCCAGGAGGUGGGAAUUACAGGCACUGCCCUCG
rnacentral:lncRNA from 1 species